ensembl:ncRNA C25A11.8 ncRNA
CUUCAAAUACCCUUUUUCCUUUUUCUUCAUUCCCAAAUCAGACAAUUUGAAUUCCACUCAGUGGUCACUUGAGAACAUGAAGAACCGUUUUCAACUGUCCGUUUUCCUCGUUUGGAAAUAAAGAAAAAGGUGGGAUGAUGGAGGUGUAGUGCCCAAACAAAGAGAAAUAAGAGGGCCAGAAAGGAGGAUCGACCUUCAUUCAAACGAUUUGACCGU